GCCGAAGUGGCGGAAUUGGCAGACGCAGGGGAUUCAAAAUCCCCCGCCUUCGGGCGUGUGGGUUCAAGUCCCACCUUCGGUA
rnacentral:tRNA from 1 species